UAGUCGAUCACAGCGGCAUCAUCGGCCUCGGGGUCUACCGGAGAGAAGAGGGGGAAGAAACAGUAAAUAUAAGCAAACAGAUGCAACGCUAAGCAUGGCAUGACGAUAAGUAGAAUUAGGGUCGAUCUAACGUAGUACUACACGUUGCAGACAGAGGGGAUAAACAUCCAAGGAUGAAUUCCCGGGGUUAGGCGGAUUCCGGACAUAGGAAAAGAGGGGGAAAGUUCCAUGUUCAGCAUGCUAGGGUCAUGUGACAGAUGAACGAGCCACGUAUUCGGAUUCGUUGGAUUUUUCUGAGCAACUUUCAUAUAGAAAACAUUUUCAACCGAGCUAUGGUUUAAUUUAUAUGAUUUUUCAAAGUUUUAUUAAUAUUCUGAAAUUGUUUUAAUUAUUUAUUUCGAAUUUAAAUAAUGUUGAUUAUUUUUAUACCCUGACCGGGCUAGCCACAGUCAAUGACAUGUGGGGCCAAUCAAAGCCCAGCCAACAGGUCAACAGUCACAGUUGACCUUGGUCAAUGUGUGAACAGUGCUAGUGGGUCCUACUUGUCAUGGACACUGUGUCUAUUAAGUCAAUUAAUUAAAGAUAACCAACAGGGUGGUCCACAUGUCAUUUUAUAUUAAAGUAAAUUAGCACUAAUUUAACACUAACUAAUCUAGUCCUAAUUAAAUAAGGGGCCGGCCGUACUGGACAAUGGCCCAGCCGGCCACACACGCAACACACACACCACACACAGCACGCAACACACAAAUCUGUUUUCUGUUAACAAAAGAUAGCAUUUUGUGAUUUUUGUAGGAUUUAUUCCAUGCAUCAAAUGGAUUUGGUCCUGUGGGGUAAAAUGGAGUUUGUCACACAUACUACCUUCCCAUAUUUUUCAAGUCCUGUUAAUGGUUGUUUAACCGCAGAUUAGGGGCUGUAGAGGGGAUUAAUCAAUGUAAAAACUAAAAAGCUAGCUAGCUAGCUAGCUAGCAGGAGUACAGGCAAGCAGCGAUAGGGAGGCAGUAGCAGAGAGCAGAGGCGUAGCGGCAGCGGCAGGAUGCAGUAGCAGCGGGAACGCGCGGGGACGGCAGCGGCUAGCAUCAGUAGAAGUGCAGCAGCAGAGGCACGGCCACGCGCAGGCGGACGCGUGCCUGGGCGCGGCCAGCAAACGGCGCCCGUGGCCGGACGCGACCAGGGGCGCGCGGGCACGACAGCGACCUCAGCGACGGCCCGAGCUCGGUAGGGUGUGGCUACGGCGCAGGAGCUCGAGAUCGAGUGAGUUGGCGAGCUAGGAGGGAGCUACAGGCGUGCGGGAGGCCAGUUAGUGUACGCACGCGACCAGAGGUUCGUCGGAACCUCGCCGGCGACGAGUCCGAGCGGCAGUGGGUUCGGCAACGGUGGUGGCCGCAUCUAGAGGUCGAAAUCGAUGCCGAAAAUAGAGGGGAUGGACACGGAGCUUACGUAGGGAGCGCAAGGGGUCCCGUCGAUGGUUUAGUAGCAGUAGAGGUGGCCGGCGUUGGCGACGGCAGCGGCGUCCGAGACGGAUGGAGGUUGAGGACGGGGAAGCAGCGGGCGUCCCGGUGGCUUCCAGCUCGAUCUCGCCCAUGUAGUCGAAGUAGGCGAGGUCGGGGAGGCCGGAGGCGGACUGGAGUCGCGGCGACGACGGCGGACACCGGCGAUGUACGCGGUGGGGACGGCCUCGAUGGCGAGCGUACGGGGCGGCCCCGCUCGAAUCGAGGCUUGCAGUCGAUGAGGAAGAG
rnacentral:lncRNA from 1 species